rnacentral:lncRNA from 1 species
GAUCACCAAAAGAUCUAGCCCCUGCUUUCAUAAUCCUUUCCAUCUUCCAUUGAUGAUGUGGUUAUUCAGUCAUUUCAGUCACAUCUGAUUCUUCAGGAGUCAUGGUUUUCUUGGGAAAAUUAUUGGAGUAGUUUGCCAUUUCCUUCUCCAGUUUAUUUCACAGAUGAGAAACUGAGGCAAACAUUAACUUGCUCAGGAUUAAACCUCUAGGAAGUGUCUGAAGCCAGAUUUGAACUCAGGAAGAUGAAUCUUCUGAUUUCAGACCCAGCAUUAUUCACUAGGCAACCUAGCUACCCCCGUCUUCUGUUGUAGUUAUUUCUAGAUUAUUGCAUUACAUGGGCUUUUAAGUUUAGCAUUUAGUCAUUUUUGUUUUUCAAAUUUGUCAGUCUGCCUUUUGAAAUUUAUCCUUCCCUGUUUUUACAGCAGUAAAAUGCAAAGCAAUACAAGGUUUCUGUCAACAAGAGUUAGAAUCUGGCUACCUGUAAAAAACCACCACACAAUUAGAAAACAGAAAAUUCUUUCCAUCUCCUUCAUUACCUAAACAUGGCUUUCUUUAACAUCAGUGAUACUGCAUCUCUAGCACCUGCUACCUGCUACUGGCCCUACAUUUCCCCACUCACAUCACAGAGCCAUAAGGAGCCAAGAUAGACAAUGCUCUCUAUGCUUCUAUGUCGUUCAUUAUCUUUUCUCCUUUUAAUAAUGUAAUUUAACUAUACCACUCUCCCCGAUCAGCCAAACUCUUGGCAUUUUCCAGUCUUUUCCCCAUGAUUUUGAUAAGUCUUCCUCCCUUUCCUCUUAGUAAUUUUGAGUUUGACAUUGAUGGGAAUUAUCUGUCAUCUUUCCAUUUUUCAGUCAAGCUUCUGGAAGAACCAUCACAAUAUGACCACCAAAGGAGAACCCCAAGCCUAGAAUAAACUUGUAUCAACUGGUAAUGGUAGCACCAGAAAAAUCACAUUGAUAAACACCAUUUGACUGGUAAAUUUGAGAAAUAUUCAGCCAUCUUGGAUGUCAAGGUCCAUCCUCUUGUGUUCAUUACCUACAGAGGUCCUACUAAAUUCAACAUAUGUUGAAUCUGGCCAUAAGAGAAAUUUUGUUGGACUGAGAGAUGAUUAUUACAUUCAAGCUCAAUGUACCAUUAUAAUGAUUAAUAUAAUUUAGAAAGCUAUUUACAAGAAUGAACAUAACUGAUAUAGAGAUCAGAUAUGAGAGCAUAUCAAGUUAUACCUAAGUGCUAAAUGGCAACAAAGUGGAUAUUAAGAACAGAAAAGUCAAGAAGAAAUUCAUCAUCUUCCACUGGAAAAAUCCCUAACAUCAUGACAUUUCAGCCAAAGGUUAACUAUAACUCUGAGAAGCCUUCUUCUGGCUUGCUACAAAACUUAGUAGAGAACCUAAUUUGGAGCUUAUUAUCAUACCUAUCCUUGUAUCUCUCCAGAGGUGGUCAUGAACCUAGCACUGGUAAACACAGUUUGAGCAAGAGUUAAAGACUGCUUGGACAAUUAUACUCCUGAUGAAAAUGGUGGGGAUUGUGAGAGAUGGAAGUUAGAGACCAGUGUCAGGGGUCUAGGGAUAAGCAACUGUCCUGUGCUAUCAGUGGUGCAGAAUGUCUGGUACUUUCAAGAUGAAGAGAACAUGUGCUCAAUCUUUGAGUUGUUAGAGGAAAUGAAUGGACUUGAGAAUGAAUUGUGG